AACGAACGCUGGCGGCAUGCCUAACACAUGCAAGUCGAACGAGACCUUCGGGUCUAGUGGCGCACGGGUGAGUAACGCGUGGGAACCUGCCCUUAGGUUCGGAAUAACACCCCGAAAGGGGUGCUAAUACCGGAUAAUGUCUUCGGACCAAAGAUUUAUCGCCUUUGGAUGGGCCCGCGUUGGAUUAGCUAGUUGGUAGGGUAAAAGCCUACCAAGGCGACGAUCCAUAGCUGGUCUGAGAGGAUGAUCAGCCACACUGGGACUGAGACACGGCCCAGACUCCUACGGGAGGCAGCAGUGGGGAAUAUUGGACAAUGGGCGAAAGCCUGAUCCAGCAAUGCCGCGUGAGUGAUGAAGGCCUUAGGGUUGUAAAGCUCUUUUACCCGGGAUGAUAAUGACAGUACCGGGAGAAUAAGCUCCGGCUAACUCCGUG
rnacentral:rRNA from 1 species